GUGGAAUUGUAUUCUUGAGUUCUUGUUCUGUUAGUUCGUUAUUUGAGUAUAGAAAUGCUACUGAUUUCUGUAAGUUGACUUUGUACUCUGCAACUUUGCUGUAGUUCUUGAUUAUUUCUAAAAGUUUUCUGAUGGAUUCUCCAGGGUUUUCUCUAUAUAAAACCAUGUCAUCUGCAAACAGUGAGAGUUUCACUUAUUCAUCGUCUAUUUGGAUUCCUUUUAUUUCUUUUGCUUGCCUAACUGCUCUGGCCAAAACCUCUAGUACAAUGUUGAACAAGAGAGCUGAGAGUGGGCACCCUUGUCUUGUUCCUGUUCUCAGAGGGAUGGCUUUCAUUUUGUCCCCAUUGAGUAUGAUUUUGGCUGUGAGUUUGCCAUAUCUGGCCUUUAUCAUGUUGAGGUCACUUUCUUUCUAUACCCAUUUUAUUGAGAGCUUUUAUCAUAAAUGGAUGUUGGAUCUUGUCAAAUGCUUUCUCUGAAUCUAUUGAAAUUAUCGUGUAUUUUUUGUUUCUCAUUUUGUUAAUGUGGUGUAUCACGUUGAUUGCUUUCUAGAUGUUGAACCAUCCUUGUGCCCCUGGUAUGAAUCCCGCUUGAUCACGGUGCAUGAUCUUUUUAAUGUAUUUCUGUAUUCAGUUCUGCCAAUAUUUUGUUCAAGAUUUUUGCAUUUAUGUUCAUCAGCUAUAUGGGCCUGUAAUUUUCCUUCUUUGUGUUGUCCUAAUCUGGCUUUGUUAUCAUGGUGAUCUUGGCCUCAUAGAUUGUGUUAGGAAUAUUUCCGUAUUGCUCAAUUUUUUCAAAUAGUUUGGGAAGAAUGGGUAAUAUAUCUUCUUUGAAUAUUUGGUAGGAUUCUGCUGAGAUGCUAUCUGGUCCUGGACUUUUAUUUUGGGGGAGGAUUUUGAUAACUGUUUUAAUCUUUUUACUUGUGAUUGGUCUAUUCAGAUUCUCUAUUCCUUCUUGAUUCAGUCUGGGGAGGUUGUAAGAUUCCAAGAACUUAUCCAUUUCUCCUAGAUUGUCCAGUUUGUUGGCAUAUAGUUUUUCAUAACAUUCUCUUAUAAUCUUUUCUAUUUCAUUGAUGCCCAUUGUAAUUUCUGCCCUUUCAUUUCAACUUUUAUUUAUUUGAGCCUUCUCGUUCUUUUUCUUAGUGAGUCUGGCUAAGGGUUCUGUCAAUUUUUUUUUUAUCUUCUCAAAGAACCAGUUCCUUGUUUCAUUGAUCCUUUGUACAGUCAGUUUUUGUUUCAAUUUCAUUUAUUUCUGCUCUAAUUUUUAUUAUUUCCAUCCUUAUGCUGACUUUGCCCUUUGUUUGUUCUUUUUCUAAUUCUGUUAGGUGCAGUUUAAGAUUGUUUAUUUGAGCUUUUUAUUAUUUGUUAACAUGGGCCUGUAUUGGUAAAAAUUUCCCUCUUAGGACUACUUUUGCUGUGUUCCAUAUGAGUUGGUAUGGUGUAUUUUCAUUCUCAUUUGUCUCCAAAUGUUUUUUGAUUUCUCCUUUCAUUUCUUUGAUAAACCAUUUCUUAUUCUGUAACAUGUUGUUUAGUCUCCACAUUUUUGUCCCUUUUUCUGCUUUUUUCUUGUGGCUGAUUUCUAGCUUCAUAGCAUUAUGGUUGGAGAAGAUAGUAUACAUGGUUUCAAUCUUCUUAAAUUUAUUGAGGUUCACCUUGUUUCCCAAUAUUUGGUCUAUCCUUGAGAAUGUUCCAUGUGCACUUGAAGAAAUUAUACUCUGCUGUUUUUGGAUGGAGUACUCUCAAUACAUAUCUAUUAAUUUCCUCUGGUAUAGUCUUUUGUUUAAUUCCACUAUCUCCUUGUUGACUUUUUGUCUGGAUGAUCUACAUUGAUAUAAGUGGGGUGUUGAGGUCCCCUACUGUUAUUGUGUUGUUGGUAAUAUCUCCUUUUAGGUUUGCUAACAGUUGCCUGAAGUACUUUGGUGCUCCUGUGUUGGGUGCAUAUAUGUUUAUAAGUGUUAUGUCCUCUUGCUGGAGAGUCCUUUUUAUCAUUAAAUAUUGCCCCUCUAUGUCUCUCUUUACCUGUUUUAUCUUGAAGUAUACUUUGUCUGAUAUAAGUAUGGCAACACCUGCUUUCUUUUGUUUGCCCUUAGCUUGGAGUAUCAUCUUCCAUCCUUUCACUCUGAGCCUAUGUUUUUGUUUAGAGAUGAGAUGUGUUUCCUGGAGGCAGUAUAUUGUUGGGUCUUGUUCUUUAAUCCAUCCUACCACUCUGUGUCUUUUUGAUUGGAGAAUUCAGUCCAUUUAACUUACAUUUAGAGUGAUUAUUGAUAUAUGAGUGCUUAAUCCUGCCAUCUUAUUGCAGGGUUUCCUGUUUUUCUGCAUAUCCUUUAUUUAUUGUCCCAUGUAUAUCAGGUUACUGAUUGGAUUAGGGUAGUUUUCUAUGUUGGAUUUCUUCAUUGUCUCCUGUUUAUCAUAGAAGGACACAGAAAUUUAGAGCUUCUCUAUAGGGAUAUUAUCAAUGAUCAUCCUAAAGCUUGGACACACUAGCAGAUGUAUGACUUUGUAGGAAAAAAAUUUGCAUAGUCUCUUAGAUCUGCCCUCCUGACAAAGGACUGCAUCUCUGAGGAACACCACUUUUCCUACAACACUAGUAACAGCCAAGGCAGGAAGGGGUGGAUCCAGGAGAUCAGACAUUGAUUGAGAUCCCUCUGUCUUACUUAUGCCCUAGUAAUGCAGGAAGAUAAGAGGUGGGGAGAGUCCUAAUAUGAGGUCCUGAUGGGAGGUGUGUGUGAAAGGAGAGUGGAAGUAGGAAUGAAUGAAGAAAACUUGAUUUCUCUCUCCAACUUUAAAGGGGAAUAGGCCAAUGGAAAGAGAAAGAGUAAGUUAGAGGGGAUGAGGGAAUGGUGGACACAGACAGAAUAGGAGAGAAUUAAUUCAGAGUGUGUUGGCUGAACCACCUGAAGCUUAAAUAGAUAUCUUCCACCAUAAGCUAUGAAGGUAAAAAUAAACAGACUUAAGAGGAAAAAGAAGAAAAGAAAAGGUACUUACUACAAAAAUUGCAUAUCUUAGGUAGGAUGGUAUUGAAACACUUUCUGUAAAAAUUCUGGAUCUAGUUGAAAUGAAUAAAGUGAAAGAAAGCCACCAAUAAUCAUAUCCCAAUCCCAGUGUAGACUAGGCUUUACUUUUGAAAAGCAGCUGGGGUUAUCUAAACUGCACCCUGAGAUUGGAAAGUGGAUGAACAGAGAGAGAAAAAUCAGACAGAUCAUCACAGAAACAUCUCCACAAAUUACAGCCCAAACCCUAAUUCUGUGGUGAGGGAACAGGCAGAUCUGGGAGGAAGUUAGCAGCUGGGCCUCUGCCAAGAAAUAAAAGUCAAUGCCUCACUUCUCCUCCUCUGAGGAAGCAUCAUGGAAUGGGUGUUUGGGCCAAUAUCAAAGGCCAGGUCAAACACGAGUGCACAAAGUAAAUAUGGACAUUUCCAGGUCUUAGGGGACACCUUCAAUGUCCUUGUUGUAAAUUAGGGAGGCGUCAUCCCUCCCCUCAGCCAGUUGGGACUUGGGGACCAUCUUUAACCUGAGGCUGUACAUGUGGGUCUCUGUGCUCAAGUGAAAAAAAACAGAAAAAAAGUUUGUAUGUCACCCACUGUAGCCCAAGGCCACAUGAUUUCAUCAGAGCCCCUGGAGAGCACCCCCAAAGACCUUCCUCUUCUGAAGCAAAGGAUAAUUUCAACUGUAUUCAUGGGCAGGUCCAAGGAAUCCUUCCUGAGGAAAUGGCAGUCAGCUGAAUGUUACUCAGCCUUACAGAGGAAGCAAAUUAUGACACAUACUGCAACAUGGAUAAACCUUGAGGACAUUAUCCUAAGAGAAAUGGGCCAGUGACAAAAGGAUAAAUGCUGUAGGACCCCACUUAUAUGAGGUGCACAGAGGAAAGGCCAUAUGAGCACACAGAGGGAAGGUGGCCAUCCACAAGCCAAGAGAAGAGGGCUCAAAAUGAAACCAAUCCACCUGGAGCCUGGAUCUGGGGCUUUUAGCGUAUAUAACUCUGAGAAAAUAAACUUGUGUUGGUUAGACCGCCUAGUGUUUCAUAUUUUGUUACAGCAUCCUGAGCUGACUAAUUCAUCUCAUAUGGGCACAUUCCUUGUUAGGAUUCUCUUACAGAGAAUAUCUUUCCAAGAUGAAAUUAAAGGGAAGUGAAUUCUCUCUUCAUUUCUUAAAAAUCACAAUGUGUAUCUGGGGAAUAAGAAAUUGUGGAAAAACAAGGUGAAAUCCCCCAGGGGAAUGAGUUCCAGCAAUUCUCAUGACACACAGUGUGGCCUAACUCCCUAGCUUGUUGUUUUAUGUGCCCGGAGAAUCUGAAGAACAAGGCCAUCUGGAUCUCUAGACUUGAGUGCUGCUUUCCUGGAAUCCCCCCUUGGAGCCCAGCCAUGUUGCAGGCUGACCCCAACCACCUGGAGGAGCCACCUGGGAGCACUGUGGUCCAUAGCCCCAACUGAGCUCCAGCCAGGUGAAUGUGCCUUCUUGGAUGUUCAGUCCAGUUGAGAGUUGUGGUGGGCACAUCCUGCACACCAUCUGAAUGGCAACUCUGUGAAAGGCUCCUAGCAAGACCUGCCCAACCAAACCCUUCCUAAGCUCCUGACCCACAAAACAAUUACCCAAAUAAAAUGGUUGUUGUAAGUUGCCAAGUUUGAGUUAAUUUGUCAGGUAGCAAAAGAUAACAGGAACAACCACCCAAAACAGAUGUGCAUUUGCCAGGGCCAAGGGAACUUACAGGGAACCACAUGUGAUAUUGGAGGAAGCAAAAAACCUUUAAGUUACAGUGAAUCACUGGAAGCAGCAGUGGGGUUGUGGGUCAGCUCAGAGGAAGGAGUGUUGAGGUCUAAGCAGGAGUGUCCUUUGGAGUCACAUGGUUCAGGGCAAAAGGGAAUGACAGCAUACUGAGAUUAUUAAGCACUAUUAUGUGUUGGGUCAGCUUGAUGCUAAGCCUUUGUGUUCCCAUCAUAUGCCUUUCAGUAGGGCACAUUUUGGCUGCAGGCUGUGGUAGACAGCUUUCAAAAACACCCCCAAUGAUUUUCUGCUCCUGGCAUUCACACUACUUUGUAGUCUCCUCCCAAAUAAGUCAAGUUGACCUGUGAAGCCACUAGGACAUUGUGGGCAUGAUGGUGUGUGAUUUCUGCUUCCUCCUAUUUGUCUCAGUUCUAAUUAUCUUCUGCAUCUUAUACAUAUUACUCUACGUGAAGUGAGUGAGAGAUGUUUCAAUUAUCUAUUGUGGCAUAAUAGACCACUCCAAAACAGUGAGUAAUAUUGAUCGUUUAUGCUGUUCAUGGAUCUGGGGUUGACUAGGCUCAGCUGGG
rnacentral:lncRNA from 1 species